AUAGAGAAUGCAGACAAUCAUAUUGUAAUAACUAUGUUUACUGCCAGGUGGGUACUAAACUUACUAAGGGGAUCACUUUGCAAAGUAUGUAAAUUUCUAAUCACUAUGCUAUAUACCUGAAACUAAUACAAAAUAAUAUUGAAUGCCAACUGUAAUUGAAAACAUAAAAUUAAAUAUUAAAAAAAAACAUGUAUAUGACUAUGAUAAGACUAUCCCAUGUCUGACAGGAAGGAAAGCAACUUAUCCCUCCCAGGCUGUGGAGGAGGAGUGCAUUCAACUUCCUUCAAGAGGUAUGUGAUGGGCAGAAUUUUAUCCUCAAAUGCAGGAAAUCUGAGCAUCUCUAAAAGGAGACACAAAGAAUUCAGUUCAAAGAGCAGGGCUAUAAACAAGUGAAACAAUGCAAGAUGUACAGGGGGAAGCUGAAAAGGAAUGGGGUCCACAAAGAGCCAAAAUCAUGUGACAGGAAUGAGCACUUCAGUCUCACAGCACUGAUGCAGGUCUCCUCAGAGUCCAGGAGGCAGGCUUUGUUUAUGAGACACAGAGAAGACAGCCAUCUACACCCCAAGGAAAGAGGCCUCAAGAGAAACCAACCCUGACCACACCAUGAUCUCACACUUCUACCUCCAGAACUGUGAGAGAAUAAACAUCU